UGGGGAAUUUUGGACGAAUUGGGCGAAAGCCUGAUCCAGCAAUGCCGCGUGUGUGAAGAAGGCCUUCGGGUUGUAAAGCACUUUUGUCCGGAAAGAAAUCCUUGGCUCUAAUACAGUCGGGGGAUGACGGUACCGGAAGAAUAAGCACCGGCUAACUACGUGCCAGCAGCCGCGGUAAUACGUAGGGUGCAAGCGUUAAUCGGAAUUACUGGGCGUAAAGCGUGCGCAGGCGGUUUGCUAAGACCGAUGUGAAAUCCCCGGGCUCAACCUGGGAACUGCAUUGGUGACUGGCAGGCUAGAGUAUAGCAGAGGGGGGUUAGAAUUCCCACGUGUAGCAGUGAAAUGCGUAGAGAUGUGGAGGAAUACCGAUGGCGAAGGCAGCCCCCUGGGCCAAGUACUGACGCUCAUGCACG
rnacentral:rRNA from 1 species